rnacentral:rRNA from 1 species
CCUACGGGAGGCAGCAGUGGGGAAUUUUGGACAAUGGGGGCAACCCUGAUCCAGCCAUGCCGCGUGAGUGAAGAAGGCCUUCGGGUUGUAAAGCUCUUUCGGACGGAACGAAACGGGCGAGGCUAAUAACCUUGUCCACUGACGGUACCGUAAGAAGAAGCACCGGCUAACUACGUGCCAGCAGCCGCGGUAAUACGUAGGGUGCGAGCGUUAAUCGGAAUUACUGGGCGUAAAGCGUGCGCAGGCGGUUUUGUAAGCUGGAGGUGAAAUCCCCGGGCUUAACCUGGGAAUGGCCUUCAGGACUGCAAGG